AUGUGUGACACUGCCCUCCCUGACUCUGCCUGGGGCCCCACCCUGCUCUGCUGUGUGACUGUCUUUCUCCUGGGAACAAGUUCAGCAAAUCCUGGGGUCAUCCAGUUUCCAAGACACAUAAUCAAAGCAAAGGGAGGAAGGUCCAUUCUGAAAUGUAUUCCCAUCUCUGGACAUGACACUGUGAGCUGGUACCAACAGACUCUGGGGCAGGAACUGAGGUUCCUCAUUCAACAUUAUGAUAAAAUGGAGAGAGAGAAAGGAAACAUGCCCAACCGAUUCUCAGUCCAGCAGUUCAGUGACUAUCGCUCUGAGAUGAACAUGAGCGCCUUGCAGCUGGAGGACUCUGCUGUGUACUUCUGUGCCAGCUCACCACAGCCUUACAGAGUGACAGGCUUUCUGUCCCUUAGUCUUCCUGUCCCCGCUGGAGAUGAAAUCAUGAGAUUCCACACAACCUUAUCCAAGGCCCAGAAAUACUUCUAGAUCUUUACUAAUCCCCUCACUGCCUAGCUGAGCUCAUACCAGUCCUCCCAAACACUGGGAUGGGCCCUAAGAUUUUCUCACAUUUCAGCCAGUAGGAACCCUACUCUUAGCUGCGUGCUUUGAUUUUGGCAUAAGCUACAUGUUUCAUUAUAAAGGUGUACAUUAGUGAUCCAUUUGUGGAUGAAAAUUUCUACAUGCCACCUUGUAGACAGGAAUUGAUAGCUUACGAAAUUAUU